AGCGAACGCUGGCGGCAGGCCUAACACAUGCAAGUCGAACGAACCUUUCGGGGUUAGUGGCGGACGGGUGAGUGACACGUGGGAACGUGCCUUUAGGUUCGGAAUAACUCAGGGAAACUUGUGCUAAUACCGAAUGUGCCCUUCGGGGGAAAGAUUAAUCGCCUUUAGAGCGGCCCGCGUCUGAUUAGCUAGUUGGUUGAGGUAAUGGCUCACCAAGGCGACGAUCAGUAGCUGGUCUGAGAGGAUGAUCAGCCACAUUGGGACUGAGACACGGCCCAAACUCCUACGGGAGGCAGCAGUGGGGAAUCUUGCGCAAUGGGCGAAAGCCUGACGCAGCCAUGCCGCGUGAAUGAUGAAGGUCUUAGGAUUGUAAAAUUCUUUCACCGGGGACGAUAAUGACGGUACCCGGAGAAGAAGCCCCGGCUAACUUCGUG
rnacentral:rRNA from 1 species